rnacentral:rRNA from 1 species
AUAAACGCUGGCGGCGUGCCUAAUACAUGCAAGUCGAGCGAACGGACGAGAAGCUUUCUUCUCUGAUGUUAGCGGCGGACGGGUGAGUAACACUUGGAUAACCUACCUAUAAUUCUGGGUUAACUUCGGGAAACCGGAGCUAAUACCGGAUGAUAUUUUUAACCGCUUGGUUCAAAAGUUAAAUACGGUCUUUCUUUCACUUAUAGAUUGAUCCUCGCUUCAUUAGCGAGUUGGUAAGGUAACGGCUUACCAAGGCAACGAUGCAUAGCCGACCUGAGAGGGUGAGCGGCCACACUGGAACUGAGACACGGUCCAGACUCCUACGGGAGGCAGCAGUAGGGAAUAUUACGCAAUGGGCGAAAGCAUGACGGAGCAACGCCGCGUGAGUGAUGAAGGUCUUCGGAUCGUAAAACUCUGUUAUUAGGGAAGAAAAUAUGUGUAAGUAACUGUGCACAUCUUGACGGUACCUAAUCAGAAAGCCACGGCUAACUACGUG